rnacentral:rRNA from 1 species
GGGGAAUUUUGGACAAUGGGCGCAAGCCUGAUCCAGCCAUGCCGCGUGAGUGAAGAAGGCCUUCGGGUUGUAAAGCUCUUUCGGCGGGGAAGAAAUGGCAACGGCUAAUAUCCGUUGUUGAUGACGGUACCCGCAUAAGAAGCACCGGCUAACUACGUGCCAGCAGCCGCGGUAAUACGUAGGGCGCGAGCGUUAAUCGGAAUUACUGGGCGUAAAGCGUGCGCAGGCGGUUGUGUAAGUCAGAUGUGAAAUCCCCGGGCUCAACCUGGGAACUGCAUUUGAGACUGCACGGCUAGAGUGUGACAGAGGGGGGUAGAAUUCCACGUGUAGCAGUGAAAUGCGUAGAGAUGUGGAGGAAUACCGAUGGCGAAGGCAGCCCCCUGGGUUACUACUGACGCUCAUGCACGAAAGCGUGGGGAGCAAAC